rnacentral:rRNA from 1 species
GGUGCAUACGGGCGCAGCAGUGAGGAAUAUUGGUCAAUGGUCGGGAGACUGAACCAGCCAAGCCGCGUGAGGGAGGAAGUUACAGAGUAUCGUAAACCUCUUUUGUCAGGGAACAAAGGCGGGGACGUGUCCCCGGAUGAGUGUACCUGAAGAAAAAGCAUCGGCUAACUCCGUGCCAGCAGCCGCGGUAAUACGGAGGAUUCAAGCGUUAUCCGGAUUUAUUGGGUUUAA